GCGCUCCCUGAGGGGGCGGGCGGGGGGGGAGAGAAGUGGGAGAAUAAACUCCCGCGUGGAUAAAAACCGACAGGGGAAAAAAAACCCCAAAAAACCAACCGACACAACAAAACAAACACCGGACGAGUGAAACGUUAACAAAGCACAAAUCACCGCAAACAGGAACAGAAUAAAAUACACCGAUAGAAACGUGAUAAAUCCUCCCCGCCGAGCGUAGGGGGCGGCCGGUGUGAGGGGCCGGGGCGGUGCUGGAGGGCGAGCGCCGCCCGCCGGCGGUGGAGAACGGCGGGGGUGUGGAGCUGGGAUCUCCUUGUGGAGCCGGGAUCUCCCCUGAGGAGCCUGGAACUCCCCGUAGAGCCGGGAUCUCCCCUGAGGAGCCUGGAAUUCCCCUGCAGAGCCGGGAUCUCCCCCGUGGAACCAGGAUCUCCCUGCAAAGCCGGGAUCUCCCUGUGGAGCAGCACUGAGGGGAUGAUAGUGGCGCAGGUGGCGUGCCACUGACGUUGAAUUUGUGCCAUUGAAUGUAACCAGACUCCAGGGUUGAAAACAAGGGGAAAGCAAUUAGACAGGUUUUACAGCCAGUUGUCUCCUAAUAUUCUGGAAUGCCCUGCUGCAGACAGCCACAGGAGACUUCUCAGCACACACAGUCUCGCAGGUCACCCUGCCAGCAAUGACAUGGAGGUAACUUAUCGCUAUGAGAUGGAUCAUCAUCUUCAAGGCUUGAUUUCACCCAUUCCUCUCAUCAGGUAAAGGCAGGAAUAACUUUGUCCCAGGGCUUGCAGUACUGCAACCCAUUCGUGAGAACCUGGUCACUGUGGGGAUGGAGAGAGACCCCAGGCAACAGAACAGUGCCCUGUUCUCACUUUUGCAUUUUCCUUUGAUAAAGAGGGCCCUCAACACUGGUUGCUUCAGGCUUCUGAUCUGCCCCUGUCAUGCCAAGUUGCAAUUAAUAUAAUGCAACAUUAUCAAUCAAGGGUACAAUAAACACCAACAAACUGCAAACUUUUGAAACAGCGAUUGAUUAUGUGUCUGAGGAACAGAUUGUUUCACAGAUGAAAGCAUGAAAUGUUUUUUUUUUUUUUUUUUUAAGAGAGUAAACAUGAGAAACACGUUAAAUACUUUGAACCUACAAAAUCAGAAAUGCUAGGCUCAGGAGAAAUUCUUUGGAGCAAAUACCAUUGAGGCAGGUUGUUCUGCUUAUAGUAAAGGAUAUUAUUAAACUGCUUAAUAGAACAAAAUCGUGAAGUAAUCAUUGUGAGCAAUAACAAACUUGUGUAGCUUGUAUAGUUACACAGAUGGAGAAAUUAUUGCACUCGUUUAUGUGAGCUAGCUGUGAUUGUGUGUCAUCAGUCUUUGAGAACAAAUCAUAAAGCUUAUGCAAGAAAAGCAUAACUAAAACAGAAAUAGAAGGAAGAACUGACCAUGAAUCCAAAGGUACCAAAAUUUGGGGUAUAUUAUGUAGUUACUAAGCAAAAGAAGUACGAAUAUUUAAACAUUUUGAUAUGGAAAACUAAUAAAUAAAAUAAAGAGGCAAAGUGAAGCAUGAAAUGAGCUGACAUGAAAUAGCUACAAGUAAUGCUGACAUGGGGAUACGUGGUAAUGAAAAUUCACUGAAAAAGUGAAGAAACAUCAUCAACACAAAUAAAUAAUGACUACCAAUUAGAAUUAAUACUAAAAGAGCCUAUAGCCUAGACUAACAGAAAUGAGAAGAAAUUUCAUUUAUGUACAAAAGUGUAGUUUUGUGCUUGGGAACAAAUGACACCACUUUGUGCUAGAACUUCGAUAGCUUGACAUGACAGAGGAGGAAACUAAAAUAUACUCAUCAAAUUCACACUUCUUAUGAACUGCUGACAUAAGGUUUAUGAGAAAAACAAAUAUAGGCCUAAGCUGCCAUCAAGAGAUCUGUUUUCAGUAGAGGUAUGAAAAUAUUUUUGCUGUGUAAGAUCUCAGUGAAACUUCAUCUGGAAUAUUGUAUAAAAUUAUGAAUUAAAUCUGAAAAACAUGCAAAGAUGGGGUUCUGGAAUGGAUAAGAAGAGAUUCUUUACAGAAGAGAUUCUUUAGACAGAACAUGGCUUUUCUGGCCUGGUAAAAUGAAAGCUGAAACGGGAUAAGAUUGCUCUCUACAAAUGUAUCACUGCAGGAAUGAUUUGUUGGCUGAAAAGGCAAGUGCUGGCAGAGAAACAAAGGUGUAUAUUGGCAAAUGCAUUUAGACUGAAAAUUAGAGGACAAUUAAAGGAAGGUUAGAAGAAGCAAAGUACAGCUGUGCUAAAAAUCGAACACAGUCAUUUUACUUCUGCGACCAAGUGCCUGGGAGAGCUGGGCACCAAGAGCCCAUUAGGCUCCCUUUAAUCCUCUGUCCCCAACAAGGCUACCUGUCAUGACUUUUCCCAGCUGUUCCUAAUUGAGCAAAAGCUUUCACAUCUUUGAUAUCUGCUUGCUUUCAACAAGUCUAUCCUGUACAAAAAUUUGUCCCUAACUAAGCUGUUUUAUUUUAAUCACAUGACCCAGACUGCCACAUGGUGUGGUGACCCAAGCCUCACAUGAUCAAGCUGUAACUAAACUUCCUCUAGAGAAUCACUUCACCCUUCAGCACUCCUCACUCAGCCAUUCCUAGCCACUGUUUCUAUCAUCCACAGGUUUAUUGAUAUAUUCAAGGUACUAAAUAAUAAUUAAAUGUAUUGAUAUGCCAAAAGGCAAUUACAUCAGCAAAUUUCAAUAAAAAAGAAGAGAGAAAAUAUCAAACAUAAAACCCACUAAUAUUAAGCUGACAGGACUUGGCACAGUAGCCAGUAUAGUUAAGAGGUGUUUUAAUUAGUUUUUUCAAAAUAAGGAGAACAGAAUGAAGUUUCAUAGGUAGAUCUCACAACGGGUAUUUUUGCUGCUUUUAAGUGACGUGGCAAGAACGCAAGAGGAGAACUAAUGUUUGUGUGUAGUCAUGCAGGAAAAGAUAACAAUCAGUCAACAGGAACCUUAUAAAUUUCAACAAAGGGAAAUGUUCCUCCCUCCACUGGGGAGGAAAAACGCAAUGCACCGGGACAGACUGGGGACCAGGCAGGUGGAAAGCAGCUUUGUGAGAAAGGCCUUGGGUCAGCACAUUGACUGUGAGCCAGCAAUGUGCCCUUGUGGAAAGAAGGCCAACAGCCUCCUGGACUACAUCAGGAAGAGCAUUGCCAGCUGGUCAAGGGAGUUGAUCCUUCCGCUCUACUCAGUGCUGAUGAGACAUUUCUGGGCUCCCAGGACAAGAAAGACUGGGACACACUGGAGUGAGUCCACUGAGGGGCCAUGGAACUGAUCAAGUGACUGCAGUAUCUGCUCUGCAAGGGUGGGCUGAGGGUGCUGGGGCUGUUCGGCCUGGAGGAGAGAAGGCUCAGAGGGAUCUCACCAGUGUGUGUAAUACCUGGGCAGGAGAAAACAGAGCCAGACUUUUCUCAGUAGUGUCCAGCAAUAGGACAAGAGGCUACAAAGAAAAAUACAAGAUUUCCAUUUAAACAAAAGAAAAAAGCUUUUUUUAUUAUUGUGAAGGAGGUCAAACACUGGCACAGGUUGCCCGGCGUAGUGUCUGUCCUUGGAUGCUCAAAACCUGGUUGGACACAGCCCUGAUGAACUUUCCAUAGGUGGCUCUGCUUUGAGCCUGGAGGGUGGACUGGACAAUCUCCAUUCCAAUCUAUGAUUUAGUAAUCUUUACUGAAUAUGCAUUGUAAUCCUAACUCUUGCUCCCCAAAAACCUGAAGAAUUAGCACAUUAGAAUGGAAAACACACAAAAGGUAGCAGAUUGCAUUCAACUGCAAACAAUAUAUUUGUUACUCAUCCCAUCUCUAUGCUGAUAUGCAUUAAAUAUAUUCAGGAUUAAAUUUAAACCCCACUCAGAUCACUAAAUAAGUAGGCUCAAUCAGUUAAUUCAUUAGUAAAGGUGAAAGGGUCACUUGACAAAAAAAACUGUAUCAGCUCUUUGGAGAGCAAAAUCACAAGUUUCCUCUCAUGAGGUGUUUACUCUGUUUUGAAUCCAAAGAUAUCUUUAAAUAUACUAACUAGCUUUAAUACACAGCUAAAAAUAAGUUCCUGGACUUUUCCUAAACUGGUUUAACUAGUUUUGAUCCGACCUUUUCCUUUGAACUGUAGCACCUCAAAUUAGAAAACAAAUAAGCUUUUAACUGUAUUGGUUACUGCUUAUACAAAGGCUGUUUCUGAGCUUCUGUAAAACUGUAUCUGUCACACCACGUCCUGUACAGCAGUAAGUCUGCAAAUUCCAGCCCAUAUUACUGUGUCUGGAAUGCACUGUAGCUUGGGGACAAGAGCUGUUAGUGCUCAUUACGCCACAAAUGCAUCCCUUAUAAACACUUUCUUUCGAUAUGGCUGUUAACCCCCAGCAGCACGAGCACAGAUGAAAUGUUAGGAGAGUCUAAGUUUGGUGAACAGAAAAUGCCUGUGACCUUUCUUGUGGCAGCACAGAAAGUGACAUUUCCCUUGACUGAUCUUUUAAUUAGAUGGGUUGCAUUUAGCAAGAAAUCGAAGUGAGCAUCCAUAAAGCCUCCACAAGAUUGUGGUAAAUACAUGCCUUGGUUUAUGCAGAACACUGCACCCUUCCUAAUGUGUCCGUGGCUGACUGAAAUGAGGAAACACAAGCAUCAUUUGCAUAAAAGCAGUUGUGUUUCUGAGGUAUACAGUAUAUAUAUAGGUAUACAGUGUAUAUAUAGGUAUACAGGGUAUAUAUAUAUGUAUACAGUGAUGAAGUUAUGCACAGAGAAACAAAGUUUCUGUACCAACACCUGGCUCCUGUAGCAUGGCUGUAAUUUCUAGUGAUCCCUCAUGAUUUUGCCCUGGCACUUGUCCUCUCACACUUUCACCAGAGACACUUGUUUCAAUCUCCAAAGCACGGAGACUGGGUAACCUAGUCCAGGCAGUGGGUGCAAAAUCAAACAUUUCUAUGAGUUGGUCAAUAAAAGGCAGAAAGUUGUGAAAAUGGUUUGCCUCUUUUAAAAUUGGAGAGAUGUAAUGAAGCAAUCCAGAAACCUCUGGAAAGUUCCUGUGAAUGAAACAGCUUUCUAAUAUUGCUUAGAAACGUUCAUCAGUUUAAAGAUACGAACUGGAUUUUUCUCUCUCCUUUUUAUUAUUUUUUUUUUCCUGAUAGCGAACAUGUAGGUAUUUGUUUUGUACUCUCAUGGAUAACAAACCAAGAUUUAGCCCUGCAGGCACUUGCACUUGUUUACAUACAGAUUUCUAUAACUUUGUUUUGCACUACCUCUUUGUGCUGGGUAAGAGUUUCAAAUACUUUUUUUUUUUUUUUUUUUUUUUAAUAUUAGCUAGUAAAGACUAUAUUGUGGGUUUGGGAAUUUUUUAAUAAUUUAU